rnacentral:rRNA from 1 species
GUAGGUGGCAAGCGUUGUCCGGAAUUAUUGGGCGUAAAGCGCGCGCAGGCGGGGUUUUUUAAGUUCUGAUGUGAAAGCCCACGGGCUCAACCGUGGAGGGUCAUUGGAAACUGGAGAACUUGAGUACAGAAGAGGAAAGCGGAAUUCCACGUGUAGCGGUGAAAUGCGUAGAGAUGUGGAGGAACACCAGUGGCGAAGGCGGCUUUCUGGUCUGUAACUGACGCUGAGGCGCGAAAGCGUGGGGAGCAAACAGGAUUAGAUACCCUGGUAGUCCACGCCGUAAACGAUGAGUGCUAAGUGUUAGGGGGUUUCCGCCCCUUAGUGCUGCAGCUAACGCAUUAAGCACUCCGCCUGGGGAGUACGGCCGCAAGGCUG